AUUGAACGCUGGCGGCAGGCCUAACACAUGCAAGUCGAGCGAGCGGCGGACGGGUGAGUAAUGUCUGGGAAACUGCCUGAUGGAGGGGGAUAACUACUGGAAACGGUAGCUAAUACCGCAUACCAUCAGAUGUGCCCAGAUGGGAUUAGCUAGUAGGUGGGGUAAUGGCUCACCUAGGCGACGAUCCCUAGCUGGUCUGAGAGGAUGACCAGCCACACUGGAAUCUGUAAACGGUCAAGACUCCUACGGGAGGCAUCAGUGGGGUAUAUUGCACAAUGGGGGCAAGGCUAAUGCAGCCAUGCCGCGUGUGUGAAGAAGGCCUUCGGGUUGUAAAGCACGUUCAGCGGGGAGGCGUUACUCGAAGAAGAAGCACCGGCUAACUCCGUGCCAGCAGCCGCGGUAAUAC
rnacentral:rRNA from 1 species